rfam:Ictidomys tridecemlineatus contig044433, whole genome shotgun sequence.
GGUGAUGUGGCUCAGUGUUAGAGUGCUUGCCUAGCAUGCAUGAGGGCCAGGGUCCAAUCCUUAGCACCAUCA